rnacentral:rRNA from 1 species
UACAGAGGGGGCAAGCGUUAUUCGGAAUUAUUGGGCGUAAAGGGCGCGUAGGCGGCUUUGCAAGUGACGGGUGAAAUCCCUCGGCUUAACCGGGGAACUGCCUGUCAAACUGCAUGGCUUGAGACCGGGAGAGGUGAGUGGAAUUCCCAGUGUAGCGGUGAAAUGCGUAGAGAUCGGCAGGAACACCCAGGGGGAAACCAGCCGACUGGGCAUCUGCUGACGCUGAGGUGCGAAAGCGUGGGGAGCAAACAGG